rnacentral:snRNA from 1 species
AGAUGCGAGGGUGAUCUGGCAACGACAUCUGUCACCUCACUGAUCACCAGGGGUGAUUUAGCUGAUCUGGGUGGAUAGGGGGAUGUCUUCUUCCUCUCUCACUGCUCCAUAUGCAUCCCUUCCAAAGCUGUAUGCUUGAUUGAAGAAGACGACCUUCCCUGAUAGAGAUGUACCAUUCACUGCUCAAAGGUAUAUGGAAGCUGCACUCCCAGGCUAGAACCUCCAAACAAGCUCAAGGUCCAUUUGUAGGAGAACAUAGACUAGUCAAGCUUCCAGGUCUGUGGACGUACCCAUAUGAGGCACUGCAUGGGGCAGUGCCUGAAGGA